rnacentral:rRNA from 1 species
GUGAACGCUGGCGGUAGGCCUAACACAUGCCAGUCGAACGGCAGCACAGUAAGAGCUUGCUCUUACGGGUGGCGAGUGGCGGACGGGUGGGGAAUACAUCGGAAUCUCCUUUUUCGUGGGGGAUAAGGUAGGGAAACUUACGCUAAUCCCGCAUACGACCUACGGGUGAAAGCAGGGGAUCUUCGGACCUUGCGCGAUUGAAUGAGCCGAUGUCGGAUUAGCUAGUUGGCGGGGUAAAGGCCCACCAAGGCGACGAUCCGUAGCUGGUCUGAGAGGAUGAUCAGCCACACUGGAACUGAGACACGGUCCAGACUCCUACGGGAGGCAGCAGUGGGGAAUAUUGGACAAUGGGCGCAAGCCUGAUCCAGCCAUACCGCGUGGGUGAAGAAGGCCUUCGGGUUGUAAAGCCCUUUUGUUGGGAAAGAAAAGCAGCAGGUUAAUACCCCGCUGUUCUGACGGUACCCAAAGAAUAAGCACCGGCUAACUUCGUG